AGCCAAACUCAUGACCUUCUAUAGCACAGAGUUGUCAUAGGUAAGCAACUGCCCAAUGAAGGAAAUUAUCUCCUGGCCACUCCCAUGCCCUUUGCAGCUAGUUAAGGCCACAUGACCAUCUCCUGGCGACGACCCAGAAGCAGAGGAGGCAUGACGCGAGGGUGUCAUACAGAUGUGUUGUAUUGGGGCUCAGUCACUCGAUUGCUUCCUCAUCUCUCUGCUUGCUCGGGACCUGCGCGGACCUAGGGGCCUGGAUCCCUCCCUGGGCCAUAUUAGUCUUCGUAGCACUGAUCACUGACAUUACUGUAGACCUUGGUGGAGAGUCACCAGUCUCGAGAGUGACAUCCAGCAAGUGCUCAGGACUUGGAGGAGAGUUAUACUGGUUGCCACUGGGAUGGCCCGGAAGCAAAUCUCCAAGAGAGGCCCUGCCAAAGCUGACCAUGACCCUUACUCCAGGUCCACGGCGGCCUCCCACUGGUGAUCCCCAGGAAUCAUCCUUUCCUGUCAGAGCUCAGAGAGACUCUACAACUCAGUCUGCUGAGAAGUAGCUCCCCUGCCUCUUUGGAGGAAAUGCGCUGAUUCCAGUCGUACACGGUGUCAAUGGAAUUUUCCUGAAUUAUGUGUCCGUGCACACGAAGCUGGGGAGGCAGGCAGCAAGGCUGUGGGUUAACUUCAGCCCACACACGCUGAGGACGUCUGCAAUGACUGCUGACUGGCAACCACAUUCUCCUCAUCCUUGGGCUUUGUCCUGACAUUAGCAAGCCAGAGGGACAUUUAGGCAAACCACAGACUGCCAUCAGAAAGCCACAGAGAAACCAUCAGGGGGUAUGAGCAAAGCACCUGAGGGGUCUUGGAGAAGAGUAAUUGGCAGAACUUGGCAUUUGGCUUUGAUGUUCCUGGUCCCCAAAAAUGUUUCUGGAUUCUUUCUGUGAUUUUUAAUACAGAUAUGACAUAGUCCCAGCAUGAUCUAUACACCUGCUCGUAGGUUGUGUGUGAAAUCUGGGUCUUGAAACUCAGCACGUGGUGGGGGAUGCUUGUCCUCUGCAUGGCUGUGUUGGAGCAGAGUCUCCCUAUGGUGUGGGUUCAAGGUAGAUUAUAACUUGUCUUAAUGCAAGAACAGAGCAAGGUCACUGCAGGAAGGCAUGGCCAGACACCCCCAGAGAAGUAAGGACCUUCACUGACUAGUCCAACAGAUCUGUGACACUGGGUUGCCUACCAAUUGGGAUAUCCAAACAAAACCGUGUCAUGCCCCUGAUCAAAGCCAUCUGACAACUUCCUCUACCACUGAGAAUGAAUCCCAACCUCCUUACUAUGGUCCCUCAGGCCCUGUGGGGUCUACCCUUAACUACCUCUAAGACUUUGCUGCUGACCAUGCUCCCUUGGCUCGUUGCUCCAGCCACAGCAUCUGCCUCUUUGCAUAGAUCCACAGAUCUUGAACACACUGAGUGUAUUUGUACUUCAGGGCCUUUUGACUUACUCUUCCGUCUGCCUAGAACAUAUCUCACCGCAGAUCGUCCUAUGGCUCACUCCUCCACAUCCUUCUGGGGCUCAGCUGUCACCCUCAAGAGAAUCCUUCCUUGACCAAAGAGCAACACCUCUGCCUCUGCCACCAUAUUUCUCCCCACUUCAUGUCCUCAGCAUCUACAACAGUGACUGAUACAUACUAAGUAUUUAAUAAAUACCUGUUGAAUGAAUAGAGAAACAGAAACAUCAGAUAUCUUUCACAAAGGAUACCAACAAGAGCUUCCUAAUGGAAAGGUUUCCUAAUGGCAAUUCAGGCCACAUUUUUUUUGCUGCUUUUCCACACUUUCUGCAAGCUCUCAUAGUAGUCCCCUAUUACCCAUCAUCCUUUUCUUCCACGGUAUUAGAAUUUUAAUCCAAUGUAGUAGUCAAAAAUAGAAACACAUUUCCCAAACUUCCUUGAAGCUAGGAGAGGCCCUGUGGUAGAAUUCUGACAGUUUCUAGGAAUCUGACUCUUGAUCCUCGCCCCUAGUUCCUCUUUCUCCUUUGCCCAUACCCUUUACACCUAUCCUGCUGCUUGGAAGGUCGAUGUCUGGCUGAAGGUCCAUCUUGAGCCAUGAGAAGAGGGCUGCAUGGAGCAUAAAGCUGGAAGAAGACUGGGUCCCAGAGGGCUCAGACAAACAGGAUUCUGCACUGCUUACUUACAAACUUUCCCAUAUGAAAGAAAUUUCUUUUUCGAGCCACUGUUAUUUUUUAAAGUCACCUAGAGCUGAACCUCUGAUACCCACUUUGCUUGCAUUUUCUAUUUCUUGGUGGAAAUUGCCCCAAGUAGAUGAAGGAAAUCUCAGAAGUUUGGGCAGAGUAGCAGAGGUUGAAAGGAGCAAGGAGCGUGGCUGGACAUCUGUAGACACAAAUGGCCUACUGAAAUCUUACUGCACGUGGCCAUGGAACUCCUAGGGUGGAAAGAGGAAAGGGCCUCAGAAGUGAACUCAGAAGGGUCAGCUCCAGACCACUAGGACCUGCCCAAGUCUUCUUAGUUUUUAUGGCCUUAUCUCUUCAUCUGUACAAUGGAGGUAAUGGUUAUGGAAAGUAUUUAAAAAUUAGAUAUGAAAGAGCUUUGCAAACUCUCAAUCGCCCUAAAACUACAGAGUAUUUAAGACUUAGUUCUAUUGGGCCUCUCACAGAUGAAAUUGAUUCUUAUAGUUCUUAAUUUCUUACCAUCUUACGUAUGUAAUAUCAAAAAACCAAGAGUCAGUAGUUUAAAUCACAGAAUUAAAUAACAUUUUAAACUAUGCCAUGAAAUUAGGAUUGGCAGAGGAGAACUCCUUAAACUUAUUUGAUUUUUCAAAUUCUUAUCUAUUAAUUAAAACAGUCUAUUAAGGCAAUAACAAGUCAUGUAUUUUGUGCCACAAUGGAAAAACAGGCAUUGGAUGAUUUGUACUACAAAAAAUGAAAUUACUUUUUAAAAUGUAUCAAGGGUCCCAAGGUGGCUUAUCUAUGCCCCAGAAGGACUAGAUCAAAGUGCCAAGGACCAAAAAGAGUCAGCCAGUUGGGUAAGACCUAGUAUCCCAAAGACUCAGCAAGCUCAGAUCCUAGUAGGCAUCUGUAAGUCCUGCCAGGUAGAAAAAGCACUGAUGGGGAAUCCAGAUGUCUGCUAAUGAUCAGGAAAGACUGCUGGCAAUAAUUCCAGAGAACUAUCCGUAGACAGUAGACUCUUGGCAAGGCUUUAAUUUGUAGGUCAAAGCAAAAGGUGCUCUAGUCACCAACUGGGGGGGUUAGGUCAGGUGCGGCAGACACAGUUGGCUGCUUAUCUGAUAGCCAUUCCCCUUUCUUCUCUGUCAACAGAACCCUAAUUAUGGUACCUGCCCAGCCCCAGGGGAGACCAUGAUUGGCCCAAACCAAUCAUGGCCAUCUCAUUCCCCUGUGCUAGAGGGCAAGUGAUGCUCUUCUAACCAGUAAACUCCAAAAGGAGACUACUGAAGGCUUCGGAGAACAUUCUCUCUGUGGAAGUAGAGAGCAUAAGGAAGAGCCCCUAUGAUUAUCUCCCUCCUUUCUUCCUGCGUGGCAUGGGGCCACAUGAGGAGAUGACAUUCCACUUGGAGUUUCUGUAGCCAUCUUGCAUCUAUGAAGGAAGUCAUUUUCCAAAUAUCAAGAUGGCAGGUGGAAAGACUAGAAGCGCCUGUGUUCUCUGUGUCAACACUGAGCCUCAACAAAUAGGCUUGUAAUGGGAGAUGAGGAUCUCUUUUUUAAAGCCAUAUUUAGUUGGGUUUUCUGUAACGAGCUGGUAUGACAGGGUUCCACUCCUCGUGGGCUCAAGGGGCCAACUGAGAUGCCAGCUGCUUAACCUGUGUCAGCAUGAAAAGGGGACGACUGUGACAUGAUGAAUAUGUGGAGCACCAGCUCCUUUCUUGGGUCUCCUUGACUCGGGUCUGACUGCACAGAGACUUGGCAGGUGAUGCUGAAGAGCCUCUGGAGCAGGGCACAGUCCUGGCCAGGGAUGGGAGGUCCUAUCCCCAGAGCUCAGGGAGCACACUCUUCCUGUCAUGGUGAGCACUGGAGAGGGCCUGCACUCUAGAGGGGCCGGUGCAGGUCUUGGCUGUGAGACAGCACAAAAGCCUAGGAAGUGGGCAGGGGCCCAAAAUAUAGGCACUGCCAAAAUAAUCUGACGGUGUGGGAUGUCCCUCGUGCACAGAACCCUAUUGUGACGGUUUUCUAGCACAGAGACUGCGACAGAAUCACUUUGAAUUUGUAUUCUAAGACAUACAUUGUGGGUGUCCCAACUACAGGGACUAAUUAUUUCAAGUUAACUUGCUGUGCACUUGGGGCCCUGUUUUAAGAGUUUCACAUGGUUGUAUUCAUUGGCCUUUUGACUGUCAAGAAGAAAGGCUAUUACUCCAUUAGGUAAUUUAAAAAGAGAAGUGACAAUUUUUCAAGUAAUUAUCAGCAAAACCGCCAAACAGGAAGGUAGAACCUGAAUAUCCCACUGAGAGAAACGACCAAGACAGAAAAUAAUGCGCUAUAUACAAUACCACAAAAGCAAACUUCUUGACAGAUGAAGUACUUUAUCAUGCCAUACUCACGUUUCUUUAAUGAACUGGCCUCAGUGGCUGUAUUCAAACCACGAACAGAAUUUAGUCUUAUUUCUUAUGCUGAGAAAGUCUAGAGACUAUUAACCCUGAAAUAUCUAAUACUGUAUAUUCUUGCAAAUAAGUAAACUAGUUCACCAUCCCAUAGUUUUCCUUGCUUUACAGGAACUCUUUAGCCAUUACCAAGGAAGUAGAAUCAAUGUGAUUAAUACAGUGUUUAAAAAGUAACUGGUACCAUUUACACUCCUCUGUGUGUUCUUCAGCUUUGAACAGACCUGUGGACCAAAUCUUGCCCAACA